rnacentral:rRNA from 1 species
GACGAACGCUGGCGGCGUGCCUAAUACAUGCAAGUUGAGCGCUGAAGGUUGGUACUUGUACCAACUGGAUGAGCAGCAAACGGGUGAGUAACGCGUGGGGAAUCUGCCUUUGAGCGGGGGACAACAUUUGGAAACGAAUGCUAAUACCGCAUAAAAACUUUAAACACAAGUUUUAAGUUUGAAAGAUGCAAUUGCAUCACUCAAAGAUGAUCCCGCGUUGUAUUAGCUAGUUGGUGAGGUAAAGGCUCACCAAGGCGAUGAUACAUAGCCGACCUGAGAGGGUGAUCGGCCACAUUGGGACUGAGACACGGCCCAAACUCCUACGGGAGGCAGCAGUAGGGAAUCUUCGGCAAUGGACGAAAGUCUGACCGAGCAACGCCGCGUGAGUGAAGAAGGGUUUCGGAUCGUAAAACUCGGUUGGUAGAGAAGAACGUUGGUGAGAGUGGAAAGCUCAUCAAGUGACGGUAACUACCCAGAAAGGGACGGCUAACUACGUG